GUGAGGGAGGGGGUGACUAGUGACAGAAGGAGGGAGGGAGUAGUGACAGAGGGAGGUGGUGACUAGUGACAGAGUGAGGGAGGGAAGGGUGUGACUAGUGACAGUCACCCCCUCCCUCACUCUGUCACUGUGUCACCCCCUUCCUCACUCUGUCACUAGUCACCCUCUCUCUCACUCUGUCACUAGUCACCCUCUCUCUCACUCUGUCUCUAGUCACCCCGUCCCUCAC